UACGUAGGUGGCAAGCGUUGUCCGGAUUUAUUGGGUUUAAAGGGUGCGUAGGCGGUCCUGUAAGUCAGUGGUGAAAUACUCUAGCUUAACUAGAGGGGUGCCAUUGAUACUGCAGGGCUUGAGUACAGACGAGGUAGGCGGAAUUGACGGUGUAGCGGUGAAAUGCAUAGAUAUCGUCAAGAACUCCGAUAGUGAAGACAGCUUACUAGGCUGUAACUGACGCUGAGGCACGAAAGUGUGGGGAUCAAACAGG
rnacentral:rRNA from 1 species